AGGGCCUUUGAUGUUGAUCGUAGUGUACGGGCAGGUUCAUAUCGGGAGAGGCGUUCCAGCAGAAAAAGAUCCCCAAGGUGUCCAGUUUUCUCUAGUGGCAUGUUUUUACAUCAUUCCUGUUUGCCUGAACUACAUAAGCAAAUCGACCCAUCGGUGUCUUACACUUUUGUUUAUCUUAGUCGGGGUUAUGAAAAGGAGGUUAAAGACCCAGUCUCUCCUCACAGGGCUUUGUUUCCAGUCCCCUGAGCAUCCUUGUUGCCCUCCUCUGAACCUGUUCCUGUUUGUCUGCAUCCUUCUUGAAGUGCGGAGACCAGAACUGGAUGCAGUAUUCGAGAUGAAGCCUAACCAGUGCUGAAUACAGGGGAACUAAUACUUAACACACUUUGGAAACUAUACUUCUGUUAAUGCAGCCUAAUAUAGCAUUUGCCUUUUUUGCAGCCACAUCACACUGUUGGCUCAUAUUCAGCUUGUGAUCAAUGACAAUUCCAAGAUCCUUCUCACAUGUUGUAUUGCUGAUCCAAGUAUCCCCCAUCUUACAACUGUGCAUUUGGUUUCUUUUUCCUAAGUGUAGAACUUUGCAUUUAUCCCUGAUGAAUUUCAUUCUGUUGUUUUCAGCCCAAUGCUCCAGCCUAUCAAGGUCCCUUUGAAUUUUGUUUCUAUCUUCCACGGUAUUAGCUAUGCCCCCCAAUUUUGUAUCAUCUGCAAAUUUGAUAAGCGUGCUCUGUACCUCCUCAUCCAAGUCGUUAAUAAAAAUGUUGAAGAGCACUGGGCCCAGGACCAAGCCCUAUGGUACCCCUCUCGUUACUUCUGUCCAGUUUUAGAAGGAACCAUUGAUAAGCACUCUUUGAGUACUAUUCUGGAACCAACUGUGGAUCCACCUGAUAGUUGUUCCAUCCAGCCCACAUACAUUAAGCAUCAACCACAGUUGCCUGGAGCAUACCACUCAAACAAACAAAAUUCUUUGAUUAGAAAUUAAGAUAAAAAUCUUAGCUAAAAGAUGGUGUUCCCAGGUUCAGCUGAAGUGAUGGAAUCAUUCCUUUUCACCUGCUUAGGGAGCCUGGAUAGGGAACAUUUAACCUAGCCUACUUGCUAGAUUACUUGCUGCUUGCUAGAUCUGGCAAGAAGGGUUUAAGUGCCCUCAAGCUGGACCAGGCAUCAGAAGGCCAUUGUAGGAAGAAAAGAGCCUAUUGUUGUGGAGAUGUCAGAUGGGAGCACUCAGGAAUAAAGAUGGAUGCCCCUAAAGGUUGCAAUUCUAAGCACACUUACUAAAGGACUAGGCCUCAGAGAAUUCAACAGGACUUACUUCUGAGUAGAUAUUGUUAGGAUUGUGCUGUUGGUAAGGCUUGACUAGGGAUCCUCUGCAGAAAUAUCCAUAUCCAAGCAGAGUUGGCAACCUCCUGCCUGGAAUGCCCUGCCCCUGCAUUUUAACUUGGUUGCUCCAAACUUGACUUGACCCUUCACUUCAGAAAGAGGUUUGAGAAAUGAGUCAGAGUUAAGAAGAUUCUCUAUCUGUUUCUGCCUAACCUGUGGGCUGCUAUAAACCCACUUUUAACAGGCAACCCAAUUCCAGUGAGUAAUAAUUGACAGAAAAAGCACAUAUGGUUUGAUCUACCUUCACAGGCCAUAGCUUGGGAACAACAGCAAUUGCAGCCACACUUCCCAGUGAGUGAAUUCUCUUUUACCACUAUUGGGCAAGAAACAAACCAUCAUGCAAAUGACAAGGUGCAUCAUCAGUGGGUUUAAGAUGAUUGAACGCAUGGAACCACUGUUGUUGCUUCUAUGGAUAUAAGGGAGCGAGGUUAAAGGUAAAUGAAAUGCAAACAGAAAAACAAAAACAAAAGACAGUGCGAUACCAUACCAACCACAACAAGAUUCCUAGGUGUAAGGCAGAAAACUCAGCAACCCACAUUCAGUCAGGGUUCCUAACCAAAACCCAAAACUAAAAGAAUACUGGCAGCCAGUAUUGUUGAAGUUCUGGUACCUGCAGUACACUGCCUACCCUUUACCAGCUGUUUGCAGCAGAACCAGAGCUUGGAGGUAAUUUGUUAAUUGUGAUUCAUGACUUUUUUGAGGAACGAGUGGGUAAUUCCUUUACAUUUUGAUUGUAAC